rnacentral:lncRNA from 1 species
AGUCUAACACUUGGCAACUUUGCCAAUACAAAUAUAUACCACAAAUUAUGUGAAAAACUAUGGGUUGAAAAUUUAAAACAACAUAAGGAGACUAAAAAAAUGAUACAUUAAGUCCAUUUUUUCUCUCUAAAAAGAAGAAAAAGAUGAUGCAAUUUAGUUUUAUAUAUAAAGAGGAAAUGAAAUAAAUAAAAGAAAAUAUGGUUAGAGGUUAGUGAAUAAGGGGAAGGGCAAG